UCGAGCGGCAGAUGGGAGCUUGUCCCUGAAGUCAGCGGCGGACGGGUGAGUAACACGUGGGUAACCUGCCUGUAAGACUGGGAUAACUCCGGGAAACCGGGGCUAAUACCGGAUAGUUCUUUUCUUCACAUGAGGAAGAGUGGAAAGGCGGCUUCGGCUGCCGCUUACAGAUGGACCCGCGGCGCAUUAGCUAGUUGGUGAGGUAACGGCUCACCAAGGCGACGAUGCGUAGCCGACCUGAGAGGGUGAUCGGCCACACUGGGACUGAGACACGGCCCAGACUCCUACGGGAGGCAGCAGUAGGGAAUCUUCCGCAAUGGACGAAAGUCUGACGGAGCAACGCCGCGUGAGUGAUGAAGGUUUUCGGAUCGUAAAGCUCUGUUGUUAGGGAAGAACAAGUGCCGUUCGAAUAGGUCGGCACCUUGACGGUACCUAACCAGAAAGCCACGGCUAACUACGUGCCAGC
rnacentral:rRNA from 1 species